UGACGCUGGCGGCGGCCUAACACAUGCAAGUCGAGCGGUAGAGAGAAGCUUGCUUCUCUUGAGAGCGGCGGACGGGUGAGUAAUGCCUAGGAAUCUGCCUGGUAGUGGGGGAUAACGUUCGGAAACGGACGCUAAUACCGCAUACGUCCUACGGGAGAAAGCAGGGGACCUUCGGGCCUUGCGCUAUCAGAUGAGCCUAGGUCGGAUUAGCUAGUUGGUGGGGUAAUGGCUCACCAAGGCGACGAUCCGUAACUGGUCUGAGAGGAUGAUCAGUCACACUGGAACUGAGACACGGUCCAGACUCCUACGGGAGGCAGCAGUGGGGAAUAUUGGACAAUGGGCGAAAGCCUGAUCCAGCCAUGCCGCGUGUGUGAAGAAGGUCUUCGGAUUGUAAAGCACUUUAAGUUGGGAGGAAGGGUUGUAGAUUAAUACUCUGCAAUUUUGACGUUACCGACAGAAUAAGCACCGGCUAACUCUGUGCCAGCAGCCGCGGUAAUACAGAGGGUGCAAGCGUUAAUCGGAAUUACUGGGCGUAAAGCGCGCGUAGGUGGUUAGUUAAGUUGGAUGUGAAAUCCCCGGGCUCAACCUGGGAACUGCAUUCAAAACUGACUGACUAGAGUAUGGUAGAGCGGUGGGUGGGAAUUUCCUGGUGUUAGCGGUGAAAUGCGUAAGAUAUAGGGAAAGGAAACACCAGUGGGCGAAAGGCGAACACCUGGGACUGGAUACUGGACACCUGGAGGUGGCGAAAAGCGUGGGGGAGCAAACAGAAUUAGAUACCCUUGGGUAGUCCACGCCGUAAAACAUGUCUAACUUACGUUUGGGAACCUUACUCUUAGUGGCGCAUA
rnacentral:rRNA from 1 species